UGAAACCCUAGCCCACUUUGCAUGGGGUUUAGUCUAGAGGGGGGAAAACCCUGUUCUUUCACAAUCAGAACAGAACCUGCACAAACUCACGUAAGAACAGAAAGGGAAGCAUACAGAAGAGAGAAAAGAGAGAACUCGAGAGAGAGCAAGAGAAGCCGCCGCCGCCCAAGCGAUAACCAUCAUCGUGUAGCGCGCGCAAGGGAGUGGAGGAGGUCGCGCGCGAGGGAGAGAAGAGGGACGGCGAGAGAAGCUGAGAACGUGGACAGCAACGUUUCUGAACCGUGUUCAUCACCAAAGCUUCUUCUUUUCAGACCAAGAACCCAAGAUGGUCGUGAAGAUAAUGGCGAUGACUCAUUCUUGGGAGUUGAUGCUACGUGACGUGCCAAUACCGGAGGACGACUACACUUCAGAGGAAGAGGAAGAGGCUAAGGAAUAGGGUUUUGGUUGAGAGUCUUUUGUUUUCUGUUGGGGUUGAGAGUUUCCGAAGUGUUGGUAUCGAACAAUUUUAUUGCUUAAAUUCGAAUGAACAAGUUUUGAUGUAAUCUUUAUUUUCAUUCAGGCCUUUGA